GGAGUUCCUAAAGUCAAGACUGAUCUUUCAGUAUAAACUUUUAAGCCAACAUGAAUGAGGAGAAGUCCUUGAAGUGCCCAAAAAAUGAAAAUUUGAACAUCUACAAUGUCAUGAUAACUGUGUGAACUACAUCUGCCGAAGAAGAUCGUGGGACGACUGCAUGCUCAAGAACUGCUACUAAAAGGAGCUUGUGCACAUUGUCAGAUACCCCUAGCCUGUUUUCUCCGAGCCGGACCGAACAGCACCGGUUUUUCCCGAAGCAGCCGAACACUCCACUGCGGCUGCGUCACCCUUUUUGUGAACAGCAAAGAUUAUACCUAGCUAAAGCGAAAAUGGACGGCAAACUUUCCGAAAGGAUGGACACCUAUAUCUGCAAAGCACAAUAGACACAUGUGAAGAUUAAGAAACGGCGGCGUGAACAGGAUGCCCGGUGAAAACAUCCGCUGUUUACUCUGACUGUAGUUUCCACGAUACAGUUGAGUUAGCUUAGCUGGCUAACGCCAAUAACUCGUAAAUAAGCAUCGCUUCUUUAAAACCUGCGCCGCUGAGUUUUUCUGCUCGGUGCGUGACAGCUCUGAGGAGCAGCGCUGCGACUGGUGCAUUUUUAAAAGAGGGGACCUUUGACUCACCUGAGCGAGUGCUUCCCAGGUAAAAGUAUCUAGUCUUUAUUUGAUAUUUUUCCUCGGAUGGAUUUCUGAGCAUAGCCACAUCACCAAACACUCCCGGAAACAAAACUUCCUCUGCACUGAUUGGACAGCCGGGAUCUGGCGUAUCUAAGGAACUGUCUGCAAAUUUCCAAGCGUCUACUCGUUUCUAGGGAGCAUCUACAUAAAUACAUUUAAAGAAAACGUAAAAUGAGCCCUUGAGCUAAAAUCACACUUAAUUUGGCCCAUCACCAACUGGAACAACAAAAAAAGAAGUGUAACGAUGGCAGGGCAUGACCAAAGAGUCAACCUGAUCAUCAACCAUGGCAGGCAGCUGGGGAGGAGUCUGCUGCUUCUCGCCUACUAUGCCACAGUGUUUGUGGUCUUUGUGGGACGUACAGUGCAGUGGAUGGUGGACGCCGUGAAGUGGACCAGCCUGUUUGCACGCUACACAGUGUCAGCCUUUGACUCCAUCUACAGACAUCUGCACUGGGGGAAGAGGAAAAGUGUCGCUGGUGGGGCCAGAGAGAUCUGCGCGAGCUCUGAAAUGAAGCCACAGUGACUUCAUGUUUAUCAUAACUUUGUCUGAGAAUGUUAUAUUGGUAAAAAGCCAAUAUAAGUCAGCAGGAAACAGCAGAGACUGAAGCUGAAGGGGUUAACGUUUUGAAACUGAAUAUGAAGCGCAAACAAACCAUGCUUGAUUAAGAACACAAAUGAGGCCUUAAUGAAGUCUGAAAUAUUAUAGCUUUUUACUUUUUUAAGCUCUUAAAACAUAGCUAUUUGUUACACAGUCUUACUGGUGAUAUAUUUUUAUGUGUUGUUACAUAACUUGUUCAUUUUUUUUGUUUUGUAGUUGACUACAAGCUCUUCCAAAAAUGUUGGAAACUAUAUUUCAGGCUGUUUCUUAGACAAAGCCUGUUGCUGCCAUUCAUUCCUCACACCUGCUGAUAUGACUGUUAAUGCAAAUGUGUCACAGGGUAAUGCAAACUACAGUAAAACAUGACAGAAGCAUACAAUAUGCCUUUUUAGAAUUAUGUUAUUGCACUAAAGCAGGUUUAGGAUAAAAUGAUAAAAUGAUGAUUAAACACUACAUGAAGAAAACGUCAUAGCAUCAAGAGCCAAAUGUUUUUUUUUUUUUUUUACAUCUGUGCCUGUGAAGCAUACACAAUAUUUAAUUUCACUGUAAUAUUUGUUGUUGUUUUUUUGUAAACAUUGCCCAAUUCCUCUCCUCUCCUGACAUGAAUCACUGAUUAAGCUGUCACACUGGCUAGACCAGUUAACUGUGGAGAUGCUGCUUUCUGUGGUUUUUCUGUGUUAAUCUGAAACUUUUACUUCUGUUUUGCAAGUUUUACGGACAGAAAUAAACACAAACACUCUCGCUGAAUGUAUUCCUGAGACAACUAAUAUGUGACGUUCACCAUUACUGGAAUGUUGAUGUGAGAACUGACAAAAUGAAAAGUGAAACGUUGCUUUAAAGUGAUCCGCAGCUACAUUUACUAAUGAAUUUUUUCAUUUUACUUUUGUAUUAAUGCAUUUAUUUUACUUGUUAGUCCAUUUAGAAUUCAGUUUAAGCACUGACAUGUAUAUAUCUGUAUUAUUUGUCUGUUAUAACUAAUAACACUUUAGCAAUGCAAUGGUGGCAUUAUUAGCUCCACUCAUAGCUGCUGAACACAUCAAAUACACUUACAAGUAUAUUGCAAGGUUGUGGUAAAAAAAAAAAGGGGGGUCUUAUUUAAUACAUGAGAUUUAAUUUCAUACAGAGGCAUUCUGACAUUGUUGUAACGUUAUUUUCUGGUAUUUACACUGACAUCACAUGGUUCUCUGCAGUGUCUGCAGAAUUUUACUAAUUCAAAAUGUAAUGCUUGUUCAGUCACUGUACUAAUCAGCCAUUGCUCACAUCUUAGCGUUUGACUGUAGUAUCAAAAUAAAGUUCUCUACCAAA